GUAGGUGAACCUGCGGAAGGAUCAUUACUAGAGCAAAGGAUAGACAGCGCCCGCGGAGCCUUGCUCCCUGGGGCUACCCUACUUCGGUAAGGUUUAGAGUCGUCGGGCCUCUCGAAGAAGCUCGGUCCUGAACUCCACCCUUGAAUAAAUUUACCUUUGUUGCUUUGGCGGGCCGCCUCGUGCCAGCGGCUUCGGCUGUUGCGUGCCCGCCAGAGGACCACAACUCUUGUUUUUAGUGAUGUCUGAGUACUAUAUAAUAGUUAAAACUUUCAACAACGGAUCUCUUGGUUCUG
rnacentral:misc_RNA from 1 species